rnacentral:rRNA from 1 species
GAGUUUGAUCCUGGCUCAGGAUAAACGUUGGCGGUGCGCCUUAUGCAUGCAAGUCGGACGAGGUUACAGUUUUCGGAUUGUAACCGAGUGGCGAACGGCUGAGUAACACGUAAGCAACCUACCUACAAGUGGGGGAUAACUUGCCGAAAGGCAAGAUAAUACCGCAUAUGGCAACCAAGUUUUGCUUGGUUAUCAAAGCUUCACAGCGCUAGUAGAGGGGCUUGCGCCUGAUUAGCUAGUUGGCAGGGUAAUAGCCUACCAAGGCGACGAUCAGUAGCUGGUCUGAGAGGAUGGUCAGCCAGAUGGGGACUGAGACACGGCCCCAACUCCUACGGGAGGCAGCAGCAAGGGAUAUUGGGCAAUGGGCGAAAGCCUGACCCAGCGACACCGCGUGGGGGAAGAAGGCCUUCGGGUCGUAAACCCCUUUUCUCGAGGAAGAAUUUUGACGGUACUCGGGGAAUAAGUCUCGGCUAACUACGUGCCAGCAGCCGCGGUAAGACGUAGGAGGCGAACGUUAUCCGGAUUUACUGGGCGUAAAGAGAGCGUAGGCGGUUUUUUAAGUCAAGUGUGAAAUCUUCUGACUCAAUCAGGAGACGCCGCUUGAUACUGGGUAGCUUGAGGGCAGCAGAAGGAAAUGGAAUUCCCAGUGUAGCGGUGAAAUGCGUUGAUAUUGGGAAGAACACCAGUGGCGAAGGCGAUUUCCUAGGCUGUUCCUGACGCUGAGGCUCGAAAGCGUGGGGAGCGAAGCGGAUUAGAUACCCGCGUAGUCCACGCCCUAAACGGUGGACACUAGAUAUGGGGGGUAUCGACCCCCUCUGUGUCGAAGCUAACGCUUUAAGUGUCCCGCCUGGGUACUACGGCCGCAAGGCUAAAACUCAAAGGAAUUGACGGGGGUCCGCACAAGCAGCGGAGCGUGUGGUUUAAUUCGAUGAUACGCGAAGAACCUUACCAGGGCUUGACAUAUCAGAAGUAGGAAUCCGAAAGGACGACGACCUGUAUCCAAUCAGGAGCUGUUACAGGUGCUGCAUGGCUGUCGUCAGCUCGUGCC